GACAGAGGAGCCAAGCGUUGUCCGGAUUGACUGGGCGUAAAGCGCACGCAGGCGGCCUGGCGCGUGGGGUGUGAAAGGUAGCGGCUUAACUGCUACACGCCAUCCCAUACGGCCGGGCUCGAGCCAUGCAGAGGUCCACGGAAUUGCCGGUGUAGUGGUGAAAUGCGUAGAGAUCGGCAGGAACACCCAGGGGGAAACCAGUGGA
rnacentral:rRNA from 1 species